rnacentral:misc_RNA from 1 species
UAUUCUCAACCCCUCCAGCUUUUGUGGCUGGUUUUGGUGGCUUGGAUGUGGAGGUCUGCAGGUGCCCCUAUGAUGGGGUGUCUGCUCCUCUAAAAUGCAUUAGCGGAACCAUUUGCAAUCCGUUGACCGGUGUGAUAAUUAUCUACACCAGUGGGACUGCUCUCUGCUUGUUCAGCUCAUAACAUAAUGUUAUUAUUAUUAUGAUGAACCU